GCUUGCUUCAAUUGCCGGCGACCGGCGCACGGGUGAGUAACGCGUAUCCAACCUUCCGUACACUCAGGGAUAGCCUUUCGAAAGAAAGAUUAAUACCUGAUGGUAUGAUGAGAUUGCAUGAUAGCAUCAUUAAAGAUUCAUCGGUGUACGAUGGGGAUGCGUUCCAUUAGGUAGUAGGCGGGGUAACGGCCCACCUAGCCGACGAUGGAUAGGGGUUCUGAGAGGAAGGUCCCCCACAUUGGAACUGAGACACGGUCCAAACUCCUACGGGAGGCAGCAGUGAGGAAUAUUGGUCAAUGGACGAGAGUCUGAACCAGCCAAGUAGCGUGAAGGAUGAAGGUCCUACGGAUUGUAAACUUCUUUUAUAAGGGAAUAAAACCUCCCACGUGUGGGAGCUUGUAUGUACCUUAUGAAUAAGCAUCGGCUAACUCCGUGCCAGCAGCCGCGGUAAUACGGAGGAUGCGAGCGUUAUCCGGAUUUAUUGGGUUUAAAGGGAGCGCAGACGGGUCGUUAAGUCAGCUGCGAAAGUUUGGGGCUCAACCUUAAAAUUGCAGUUGAUACUGGCGUCCUUGAGUGCGGUUGAGGUGUGCGGAAUUCGUGGUGUAGCGGUGAAAUGCUUAGAUAUCACGAAGAACUCCGAUUGCGAAGGCAGCACACUAAGCCGUAACUGACGUUCAUGCUCGAAAGUGUGGGUAUCAAACAGGAUUAGAUACCCUGGUAGUCCACACGGUAAACGAUGGAUACUCGCUGUUGGCGAUAUACAGUCAGCGGCUUAGCGAAAGCGUUAAGUAUCCCACCUGGGGAGUACGCCGGCAACGGUGAAACUCAA
rnacentral:rRNA from 1 species